GUAAGGAAUCUUUCGCAAUGGGGGAAACCCUGACGAAGCGAUACCGCGUGAACGAGGAAGGUCGAAAGAUUGUAAAGUUCUUUUCUGGAGGAAGAAUUCUGACGGUACUCCAGGAAUAAGCACCGGCAAACUCCGUGCCAGCAGCCGCGGUAAUACGGAGGGUGCAAGCGUUACCCGGAAUUAUUGGGCGUAAAGCGUCUACAGGCGGUCUUUUAAGUUGAAUGUCAAAUUUUGAAGCCCAACUUCAAAUCGGUGUUCAAAACUGGGAGACUAGAGUGUUCUAGAGGCAUGUGGAAUUCUGUGUGUAGGGGUUAAAUCCGUAGAUAUACAGAAGAACACCAAAAGCGAAAGCAGCAUGCUGGAGAAUUACUGACGCUCACGGACGAAAGCGUGGGGAGCGAACGGGAUUAGAUACCCGAGUAGUCC
rnacentral:rRNA from 1 species